GCAGUAGCCGCGGGAAUACGAAGGGUGCAAGCGUUAAUCGGAAUUACUGGGCGUAAAGCGCGCGUAGGUGGUUUGGUAAGAUGGAUGUGAAAUCCCCGGGCUCAACCUGGGAACUGCAUCCAUAACUGCCUGACUAGAGUACGGUAGAGGGUGGUGGAAUUUCCUGUGUAGCGGUGAAAUGCGUAGAUAUAGGAAGGAACACCAGUGGCGAAGGCGACCACCUGGACUGAUACUGACACUGAGGUGCGAAAGCGUGGGGAGCAAACAGGAUUAGAUACCCCAGUAGUCCCUGUCUCUUAUAA
rnacentral:rRNA from 1 species